rnacentral:rRNA from 1 species
CAGUCGCCGCGGUAAUACGUAGGGUGCGAGCGUUAAUCGGAAUUACUGGGCGUAAAGCGUGCGCAGGCGGUGAUGUAAGACAGAUGUGAAAUCCCCGGGCUCAACCUGGGAACUGCAUUAGUGACUGCAUCGCUGGAGUGCGGCAGAGGGGGAUGGAAUUCCGCGUGUAGCAGUGAAAUGCGUAGAUAUGCGGAGGAACACCGAUGGCGAAGGCAAUCCCCUGGGCCUGCACUGACGCUCAUGCACGAAAGCGUGGGGAGCAAACAGGAUUAGAUACCCCCGUAGUCCCUGUCUCUUAUAC